rnacentral:tRNA from 1 species
ACCCAAAUACCCCCCUGGUUAGAGCGUAGGUCUCGUAAACGAAAGGUUGCGGGAUCGAGUCCCGCUAGAGGCU